GAGAGGGGUUGAUGCUGGCCUCCCGAGGCAUGUGCUCGCCCCGAUCGAAGUCCAUUUUCAACACCUGUGCACAUCUGAGGGGGUUGCGAGUCUCGGGGAGGUCAUCCCUGCUGCUCGCGGCGCCUUUAGCAAUUUUUCACCCACAAACCCUGAUAGUAAACAGAACGUGAUUGCCGCUAGCAGCGGAGAAAUAAUACAACUUUCAACAACGGAUCUCUUGGCUCUCGCAUCGAUGAAGAACGCAGCGAAAUGCGAUAAGUAAUGUGAAUUGCAGAAUUCAGUGAAUCAUCGAAUCUUUGAACGCACCUUGCGCUCCUUGGUAUUCCGAGGAGCAUGCCUGUUUGAGUGUCGUGACUAUCUCAAGCCCCCACGUGCCCUUCUCUCGAAGGGGGUGCGGCCCCGGGGGCUUGGACUUGGGAGCUCUGCCGGUCUGCAAAGUCGGCUCUCCUGGAAUGCAUUAGCUCGAGGUUGGCUCGGAGCGGUUUGCGGCGCGAUAAGUUAUCUGCGUCUCUGUUAGCCCGCGACGAGCCUCGGGACCCCGGCUUCCAGUCGUCUCCGGACAAUUUGCAUCGAAUCUGACCUCAAAUCAGGUAGGACUACCCGCUGAACUUAAGCAUAUCAAUAAGCGGAGGAAAAGAAACUAACAAGGAUUCCCCUAGUAACUGCGAGUGAAGCGGGAAAAGCUCAAAUUUAAAAUCUGGCGGCCUUGCCGUCCGAGUUGUAAUCUGGAGAAGCGUCUUCCGUGCUGGACCGUGUACAAGUCUCUUGGAACAGAGCGUCGUAGAGGGUGAGAAUCCCGUCUUUGACACGGACUGCCAGUGCUCUCUGUGAUGCGCUCUCGAAGAGUCGAGUUGUUUGGGAAUGCAGCUCAAAAUGGGUGGUAAAUUCCAUCUAAAGCUAAAUAUUGGCGAGAGACCGAUAGCGAACAAGUACCGUGAGGGAAAGAUGAAAAGCACUUUGGAAAGAGAGUUAAACAGUACGUGAAAUUGUUGAAAGGGAAACGCUUGAAGUCAGUCGCGUCGUCCGGAACUCAGCCUUGCUUCUGCUCGGUGUACUUUCCGGCUGACGGGCCAACAUCGGUUUUGGCCGGCGGAUAAAGGCGAGGGGAAUGUGGCACCUUCGGGUGUGUUAUAGCCCCUUGUUGCAUACGCCGGCCGGGACCGAGGACCGCAGCACGCCUUCACAGGCCGGGGUUCGCCCACGUAACGUGCUUAGGAUGUUGGCGUAAUGGCUUUAAACGACCCGUCUUGAAACACGGACCAUGGAGUCUAACAUGCCCGCGAGUGUUAGGGUGGAAAACCCUUGCGCGUAAUGAAAGUGAAAGUUGGGACCCUCGUCGUGGGGGGCACCGACGCCCGGCCUUGAACUUCUGUGACGGCGCCGCGGUGGAGCGUGUAUGUUGGGACCCGAAAGAUGGUGAACUAUGCCUGAAUAGGGUGAAGCCAGAGGAAACUCUGGUGGAGGCUCGUAGCGAUUCUGACGUGCAAAUCGAUCGUCAAAUUUGGGUAUAGGGGCGAAAGACUAAUCGAACCAUCUAGUAGCUGGUUCCUGCCGAAGUUUCCCUCAGGAUAGCAGAAACUCGUAUCAGAUUUAUGUGGUAAAGCGAAUGAUUAGAGGCCUUGGGGUUGAAACAACCUUAACCUAUUCUCAAACUUUAAAUAUGUAAGAGCAAGCCGUCUCUUGGUUGGACCGCUUGGCGAUUGAGAGUUUCUAGUGGGCCAUUUUUGGUAAGCAGAACUGGCGAUGCGGGAUGAACCGAACGCGAGGUUAAGGUGCCGGAAUGCACGCUCAUCAGACACCACAAAAGGUGUUAGUCCAUCUAGACAGCAGGACGGUGGCCAUGGAAGUCGGAAUCCGCUAAGGAGUGUGUAACAACUCACCUGCCGCACUGAACUAGCCCUGAAAAUGGGAUGGCGCUCAAGCGUGCUACCCAUACCUCGCCGGUCAGCGUCGA
rnacentral:rRNA from 1 species